UUAAGCAUAUCAAUAAGCGGAGGAAAAGAAACCAACAGGGAUUCCCCUAGUAACGGCGAGUGAAGCGGGAACAGCUCAAAUUUGAAAUCUGGCCCUUGGGUCCGAGUUGUAAUUUGCAGAGGAUGCUUUUGGUGCGGUGCCUUCCGAGUUCCCUGGAACGGGACGCCUUAGAGGGUGAGAGCCCCGUACGGUUGGCCACCAAGCCUGUGUAAAGCUCCUUCGACGAGUCGAGUAGUUUGGGAAUGCUGCUCAAAAUGGGAGGUAUAUUUCUUCUAAAGCUAAAUACUGGCCAGAGACCGAUAGCGCACAAGUAGAGUGAUCGAAAGAUGAAAAGCACUUUGAAAAGAGGGUUAAAUAGCACGUGAAAUUGUUGAAAGGGAAGGAUUUAUGACCAGACUUUUUCUGGGGGGAUCAUCCGGUGUUCUCACCGGUGCACUUCCCCCAGUGGAGGCCAGCAUCGGUUUCUGCCGGGGGAUAAAAGCUUCGGGAAUGUGGCUCCUUCGGGAGUGUUAUAGCCCGUUGCAUAAUACCCUGGCGGGGACCGAGGUUCGCGCAUUGCAAGGAUGCUGGCGUAAUGGUUAUUAAUCACCCGUCUUGAAACACGGACCAAGGAGUCGAACAUUUGUGCGAGUGUUUGGGUGUUAAACCCUCACGCGUAAUGAAAGUGAACGGAGGUGAGAGCCCCUCGGGGUGCAUCAUCGACCGAUCCUGAUGUCUUCGGAUGGAUUUGAGUAAGAGCAUAACUGUUCGGACCCGAAAGAUGGUGAACUAUGCGUGGAUAGGGUGAAGCCAGAGGAAACUCUGGUGGAGGCUCGCAGCGGUUCUGACGUGCAAAUCGAUCGUCAAAUCUGCGCAUGGGGGCGAAAGACUAAUCGAACCAUCUAGUAGCUGGUUACCGCC
rnacentral:rRNA from 2 species